GGCUAGAAGCAGGGGCAAUGAGGGUGAAGUUAGGGUAUUACCGCUCAGAGAGUAAAUGUCACUGAGAGUGAUCUAACCCAACCGGCAUUGCAAGACCCUAAUACUGCUGGGCGCUCUACUUUAUCUACUUGUUUGUAGCCUGAGAAAGUACCAUUUCCUGCGGCCACCUAGAAGAUCCAUUAGGACUGCUGGUACGUCCGGUGUCAACCUAGAAGAUCCAUUAGGACUGCUGAGAUACAAACACUUGGCAGCCAAAGCAAGAGUAGCCAUACAGCUAGAUUUGGGCCAUUAAAGGAGCUGCUGGGUCCUGGGAAUGGAAUAGGCUUAGUUGCUGCGUUUGAGAAGAUCAACGUAUAAGAAAACACACUACUUUAGAGUGCAGAUCAAGCUAUAACAGAAGGAGAGCUGAGUGACAUGAGAUCAAAUGGUGCUGAAUCUACUGACAGAGCUGAGGAAGUCUUCACAGAAGAGGAGACAGUGCUCGAAGAGAUCCUUUAUAGAUCAUAAAGCACGCUGGAAAUGCAGAGUAUGUAAAUUAGUAUUGUUCAAAUAUAAAAGUAUGAGGUUUGUUUUCAGGCAAGUCUGCUCCAUCUUAACAUAUGAUUAGACAGUAAAAGCUGUUUGAGUAAACAGAAUUUCUAGCUAACUUGAAAGCCCAUUU